rnacentral:rRNA from 1 species
AACGAACGCUGGCGGCAGGCCUAACACAUGCAAGUCGAACGCCCCGCAAGGGGAGUGGCAGACGGGUGAGUAACGCGUGGGAACCUUCCCAGUGGUACGGAAUAACCCAGGGAAACCUGAGCUAAUACCGUAUACGCCCGAAAGGGGAAAGAUUUAUCGCCAUUGGAUGGGCCCGCGUCGGAUUAGCUAGUUGGGGAGGUAACGGCUCACCAAGGCGACGAUCCGUAGCUGGUCUGAGAGGAGGAUCAGCCACACUGGGACUGAGACACGGCCCAGACUCCUACGGGAGGCAGCAGUGGGAAUAUUGGACAAUGGGCGCAAGCCUGAUCCAGCCAUGCCGCGUGAGUGAAGAAGGUCUUCGGAUUGUAAAGCUCUUUUGGCGGGGACGAUAAUGACGGUACCCGCAGAAUAAGCCCCGGCUAACUUCGUGCCAGCCGCCGCAGUAAUAC